rnacentral:rRNA from 1 species
AUUGAACGCUAACGGCGUGCUUAACACAUGCAAGUCGAGCGGCAGCACGAUUGUAGCAAUACAAUUGAUGGCGAGCGGCGGAAGGGUGCGUAAUGCAUAGGAAUCUACAUUAUAGUGGGGGAUAACCCGGGGAAACUUGGGUUAAUACCGCAUAAUCUGUACGGAGCAAAGGGGGCGAACAUCAGGGCCAACGCAAAAAGAUGAGCCUAUGUUGGAUUAGCUAGUUGGAAGGGUAAAGGCCUACCAAGGCGACGAUCCAUAGCUGGUCUGAGAGGAUGAUCAGCCACACUGGGACUGGGACACGGCCCAGACUCCUACGGGAGGCAGCAGUGGGGAAUAUUGGACAAUGGGCGAAAGCCUGAUCCAGCAACGCCGUGUGUGUGAAGAAGGCCUUCGGGUUGUAAAGCACUUUUAGUGGGGAAGAAAAGCUCAUGGCUAAUAUCCAUGAGUGCUGACGUUACCCACAGAAAAAGCACUGGUUAACUCUGUGCCAGCCGCCGCAGUAAUAC